GUCCUUCACCUCCGUGGAGAGGGGCUUUGGCUGAUUCUGUGUCCUUCGCCUCCGUGGAGAGGGGGUUUGGCUGAUCCUGUGUCCUUCGCCUCCAUGGAGAGGGUGUUUGGCCAAUUCUGGGUCCUUCGCCUCCGUGGAGAGGGAGCACACCCUGGAGUGGAGUCAUCGAAGGACUGUUUGACUUACUGACUGGACGGACUCACUGCUUCUGUCCAUUGGAGUUGGGAAGGAAUUCCAUCCAGAGAGAUUCUAAAGAGAGUCAGCACGAGGACAGAUGAGGAGAGAAAUGGCUGUGAAUGGAGCUUGACUUUCCCUGGAGUCCUGACUUUUUUCAGAAUAAAUGCUCCUGUAGAGCCUGAUAUUCUGCAAGUUACAAGUGGCUGCUUGCCCUUCUCAUUUGCACCCCAGCUGACUCCUAGAUAAAGUAGGUGGAACAUUUUAUGUGACGAUUAUUGCCAGGGAGCUUUAUCUGUUGCUAACGGGCAUGGUGAAAACAUUUGCACAAUAUGACAAGAAUGACAGCAUUCGAUUAGAGAGGGCUCACCUUAAGCCGGGUCAUGUUCCAGUGCUUUAGAAAGAGGACUACCGCUAACAGUGCUUUGUCUUACCACAUGAGAUGGGUAUCACCGCUUUCAUUUUAAAUAUGAAAAGGUAGAGGCUUAGGGAGGUUAAAUGCCUGGUCCAGGAUCGAACAGCUAGGAAGAGGCAGAGCCAUGGUUCAACAGGUCAGUCUCACUCCAAAGCUGGUGCCUAUAACCACCGCCCUCCAAGAUGAAAAUAAAAAUGGGAAAGACCUGCAUAAUAUUUGUACAGUGCAGUGGUUUUAGUCUCAGGUAAACGUUCCUCAGUGAUUCUAAUUCUCCCCUCCCUCUUUUUUGCCAUGACCCAUUGGGAAUUACUGGUAUUACAC
rnacentral:lncRNA from 1 species